GCAAAACAUGGAUUUAAAACAUCAUAUACAUCAGACAAAUAGCAAAAAAGUAUAAACACUUAACAUUAAUAAACACGUUUAAUUUGUUUGAUACAGUUUUAGACGUAUACCUCGAAUUUGACAUACGCAGUCACCACAGUACCAGAAUCUAAGGCAAACGAGACGAUUUUAAAUUUGAAUUAUCUGCCAUUUUUUUUUCUUUUUUGGAAUAUUUGUUUGAUGUUAUAGUAAUUAAGAUUAAGAUUAUAACACAAUGUCAUCUGAAGUACCCCUAUUUUUGACAUUACUACCUUUUAUAUCUGCGCCUGUGAACACACCGUUGCCCAUUUUUGAUGUUGCUCGGAACUAAUACAUCCUGUCAUUUUGUUAUUGUGCUAUUAAUGCUAUUGUCAUUUGUGUAGUCUUGUCUUUCAUUUUUGAAAGUGUGCUUUGUUUAUAUGUCACUUUGUUUUUCUUUUUUGACAUAUUUGUUUUAUUUCAUUUCUUAAAAUAUUGCAUUUGUAUUAUCAUGAUCAUAGUAUUUAAGUUUCUAAAUAAAUAUGGGUAUUGAUGUUUGUGAUAUUUACUAAUGAUCAUGCAUAACAGCAAUAGAAGACAUAAUCUGAGGUGGUCAAGACAUAGAUUUUUAAAACAUUGAAGUAUGAGAGAGGCAAGUUUGUUUGAAGCCGUCUUUAAUUCCAGCACAUGUAGAGGAUCAGAGGUUAUAUUUAACACUUCUGAAUUGUGUUGCUUUGAAACUGACAAAUAAACAAUCUUGGCAUUUAAAUCAUAAACAUACGUGUCAUUGUCCUAAUCUUACAAACUUAAAUAAAG
rnacentral:lncRNA from 1 species